CCAUGCCGGGAAUUCAUGGUCUUGGGGCUGGAUGGAAACACAGCUCCCACACGCUGCUGCUUUCACCUGCAGGAGCAGCAAAAUUCAUGGAAAAGCAGGGAAAUGAGGAGCACAGGGAGCUGGAUUGUUCCAAGUUGAAGUGAAGGAAACUUCUGGAGCUGCAAAGCAUCAGCCCCUCAAACAAGGCCUGUGUGUCCAAGGCCUGAAUUCCUUGUGCCAAAUUCCUGGUGGAAAACAACAAACUGACACUUUGUGCUUGGAAUAUCCAGGGGAUGAGACCUCCAAAAUCAAAAUCUUUUGGGCUUGGAGCCACCUGGAUCAGCAUCAGGAGAGGAAAAGCUGUUCCAAGCUCAGGUUUCCAAGCUCAGGUUUUGUGUGGGAGCAGAGCCCAGGCAGGCACAGAUGGACUCCAGGUUUAUGGAAAGCACCUUCCAAACCAGCCCUGCUUGGGUUUCUAACCUGAUCCUAAAAAUAAAUAAAUCAAA